rnacentral:rRNA from 1 species
GGGAUAACCGAGGGAAACUUCGGCUAAUACCGCAUGCGCCCGCGGAGUUGAUCCGCGGGGAAAGAUUUAUCGCAGCAGGAGGGGCCCGCGUCGGAUUAGCUGGUUGGCGGGGUAACGGCCCACCAAGGCGAUGAUCCGUAGCUGGUCUGAGAGGAUGAUCAGCCACACUGGGACCGAGACACGGCCCAGACUCCUACGGGAGGCAGCAGUGGGGAAUAUUGGACAAUGGGGGCAACCCUGAUCCAGCAAUGCCGCGUGAGUGAUGAAGGCCUUCGGGUUGUAAAGCUCUUUCGCCCGCGACGAUGAUGACGGUAGCGGGAGAAGAAGCCCCGGCUAACUUCGUGCCAGCAGCCGCGGUAAUACGAAGGGGGCGAGCGUUGUUCGGAAUCACUGGGCGUAAAGGGCGCGUAGGCGGCCCUCUUUUGUCGCGUGUGAAAGCCCCGGGCUCAACCUGGGAACGGCGCGCGAAACGGGGGGGCUGGAGUUCGGGAGAGGAGAGUGGAAUUCCCAGUGUAGAGGUGAAAUUCGUAGAUAUUGGGAAGAACACCGGUGGCGAAGGCGGCUCUCUGGACCGAGACUGACGCUGAGGCGCGAAGCGUGGGGAGCAAACAGGAUUAGAUACCCUGGUAGUCCACGCCGUAACGAUGUGUGCUAGA